rnacentral:lncRNA from 1 species
GCAGCUGUGCUCGCUCUCUCUGACCUAGGAAGAAGCGCCUACCGGGACAGCCGACCCUCGGCUGCCUCCAGCGCCCCCCAUCUUUUGCACCCCAAGCCGAGGACUCCGGGGACCCUCCUCUCCCAGGCGCCACCAUGCUGGACCCUUCGUCCAGCGAAGAGGAAUCGGAUGAGAUCCUGGAAGAGGAGAGCGGCAAGGAGGUGCUGGGCUCGGCCGCGUCCGGAGCGCGCCUGUCUCCAAGCCGCACCAGCGAGGGCUCGGCGGGCAGCGCCGGCAUGGGGGGCAGUGGCGCCGGGGCCGGGGUGGGCGCCGGCGGCGGUGGGGGUAGCGGCGCGAGCAGCGGCGGCGGGGCCGGGGGGCUGCAGCCCAGCAGCCGCGCCGGCGGCGGCCGGCCCUCCAGCCCCAGCCCGUCGGUGGUGAGCGAGAAGGAGAAGGAAGAGUUGGAGCGGCUGCAGAAGGAAGAGGAGGAGAGGAAGAAGAGGCUGCAGCUGUACGUGUUCGUGAUGCGCUGCAUUGCCUACCCCUUCAACGCCAAGCAGCCCACCGACAUGGCUCGGCGGCAGCAGAAGGCCUUGUAUGCUGUGUCCACAAGGGAAGUCUACAAGAGCGGACGCCCUGCAAACUCGGACUCUGGCUGUUCUAUCGAAAGCUCUAUCCACAGAAGCUGCAUUAUUCCUAAACCCCUUCAAGGGCUCCACUGGAAGGGAAGGUGGCAAGGAAGAGCUCUGUUUGUCCUCACCACCCAGCACCUUUGUAAAACUUCUUUGUUUUCAACAAUAAAUCUGUUUAACAACAUAUAA